rnacentral:rRNA from 1 species
UACGGAGGGUGCAAGCGUUAUCCGGAUUCACUGGGUUUAAAGGGUGCGUAGGCGGGCAGGUAAGUCAGUGGUGAAAUCUCCGAGCUUAACUCGGAAACUGCCAUUGAUACUAUUUGUCUUGAAUAUUGUGGAGGUAAGCGGAAUAUGUCAUGUAGCGGUGAAAUGCUUAGAUAUGACAUAGAACACCCAUUGCGAAGGCAGCUCACUACCCGAAUAUUGACUCUGAGGCACGAAAGCGUGGGGAUCAAACAGG